CAAGGUUUACUUCGAUGAUGUGCGACGGAGUCCGAGGUAAACCGGCAAGAUUUUUUGGACCUCCAUCGCACCGCAUUCAGGCAAUCCCGCCUGAGGCGGCCCGAACACGGGAGAGAACGCUGAGCGUUACAAC
rfam:Corynebacterium epidermidicanis strain DSM 45586, complete genome.